CUCGAGGCCAGAUCUAGAGUUUGAUCCUGGCUGAGAGUGAACGCUGGCGGCAGGCCUAACACAUGCAAGUCGAGCGGCAGCGGGUCCUUCGGGAUGCCGGCGAGCGGCGGACGGGUGAGGAAUACAUCGGAAUCUGCCCUGUCGUGGGGGAUAACCUAGGGAAACUUAGGCUAAUACCGCAUACGACCUACGGGUGAAAGCGGGGGAUCGCAAGACCUCGCGCGACAGGAUGAGCCGAUGUCCGAUUAGCUAGUUGGCGGGGUAAAGGCCCACCAAGGCGACGAUCGGUAGCUGGUCUGAGAGGAUGAUCAGCCACACUGGGACUGAGACACGGCCCAGACUCCUACGGGAGGCAGCAGUGGGGAAUAUUGGACAAUGGGCGCAAGCCUGAUCCAGCCAUGCCGCGUGGGUGAAGAAGGCCUUCGGGUUGUAAAGCCCUUUUGUCCGGGAAGAAAUCGUCUGGGCUAAUACCCCGGGCGGAUGACGGUACCGGAAGAAUAAGCACCGGCUAACUUCGUGCCAGCAGCCGCGGUAAU
rnacentral:rRNA from 1 species